UAAGAUUGAUCAACGCAGAAGAACCAUUAGUAGGAAGGAUCAAUAGUUACUCUGUUCAGAAGCAAGGUUUUAUGGACUCAUGGUUAUAAGGAAAGUAGUGGUUAUUGUGAUUCAAUGUAAACCCCAUUCCCAUUCCCAUUUUCAAUUGUCCCCUUUGUAAUAUUCUAUACGGAGCUACACAUUCGUAUGCUACCAUUCCAUGAAUAAAAUCUAGAUUUGCCCAUCAAAGCUUUUCAUUCGUGUUUUCUUUGUUUUCCUUCUUUUGCAAAAUGUCAUUUAUUUUUUAUGAUAUAAUUGUAAAGUUAAGGAAUACUAAACAUAUUGAAAACACAAUGACUUUGACAUUUAAAAUGAUUAAAGAAAAACCAUGUUUUUUCAAAAGUUACAAAGUCAUAAAGCACUCUUGGAUCACCAGAAAAGGAAUCUCCAUCGGGUACAACCCAUCCACUUUCUGAAGGGAUCAUCAGCCGCGUGUGUAACUGCAAGCUUGACAAAAGCAUCCAAAGGCAUCUAUCUGCAGUAAGAGUUGGCAGAGUUUCAUGUGUCAUAGAAUCCAAAUACCACUACCACAUAAAAGCUCAAUUGUGCUUGACACAUUAACCCAGUUUUCAUAAGCAUCUGUACUGCAUGCAUUGAUCAUUCAUGCAACAUAAAUCAUGCAUAACUCAAAAUGUAUCAUACUCAUCUGUAUGUCAUGCAGACUUGUUCCCAUCAACAAUUUAUCCAUUGACCCAAAGUCCAAAUUCGUUUGACACCUAUAAAGGCUGGUUCUUGUCCAACAAAAUUUAGAAGCCUUUUGAAUCCGAGAAUUACCAGAUACCAUUUCGUUUGUUACGUGAGAAUUUGUAACAUAUUUUCUUAUUCUGUGAGAAGCUAGAAUCUAUUACCUUGUUCUGUGAGAAGCCAGAAUCCACUAUUUUAUUAUGUGAGAAGUCAUAACACUUUCACUUUUUGUCACGUGAGAAUCCAUAACUUAUCUUUUUUAGUUAUGUGAGAAGUUGAAACCUUUCAUUUUUAUUACAUGAGAACCCGUAACUUACCAUUUUUUAUUGUUAUGUGAGAAGUCAGAACCUUUCAUUUUUGUUACGUAAGAAUAUGUAACUUAUCUUUUUGUUAUGUAAGAAGCUGAGACCUUUUAUCUUUGUUACGUGAGAACCCAUAACUUACCUUUUUUGUUCUGUGAGAAGCCAGAACCUUUCAUUUUCAUUAUGCGAGAAUCUGUAACUUGCCAUUUUUGUUUUGUGAGAAGCUAGAACAUUUCAUUUUCGUUACUUGAGAAUUCGUAACUAAUCAUUUUCAUUAUGUGAGAAGCCAAAACCUUUCAUUUUGUUACGUGAGAAUCAUUAACUUGUCAUUUUCGUUAUGUAAGAAACCAAGACCUUUCAUUUUAUUACGUGAGAGUAUGUAACUUGUCAUUUUCAUUUUGUGAUAAUCCAUAACCUUUCAUUUGUUUUACGUGAGAAUC
rnacentral:lncRNA from 1 species